GAUGAACGCUGGCGGCGUGCCUAAUACAUGCAAGUCGAGCGAACAGACGAGGAGCUUGCUCCUCUGAUGUUAGCGGCGGACGGGUGAGUAACACGUGGAUAACCUACCUAUAAGACUGGGAUAACUUCGGGAAACCGGAGCUAAUACCGGAUAACAUGUUGAACCGCAUGGUUCAACAGUGAAAGACGGUCUUGCUGUCACUUAUAGAUGGAUCCGCGCCGCAUUAGCUAGUUGGUAAGGUAACGGCCUACCAAGGCAACGAUGCGUAGCCGACCUGAGAGGGGGAUCGGCCACACUGGAACUGAGACACGGUCCAGACUCCUAAGGGAGGCAGCAGUAGGGAAUCUUCCGCAAAGGGCGAAAGCCUGACGGAGCAACGCCGCGUGAGUGAAGAAGGUCUUCGGAUCGUAAAACUCUGUUAUUAGGGGAGAACAAAUGUGUAAGUAACUAUGCACGUAUUGACGGUACCUAAUCAGAAAGCCACGGCUAACUACGUG
rnacentral:rRNA from 1 species